ensembl:misc_RNA
AGGGGAGCACCCUAUUUUCCCAGCUCUGUCAGCACUCUAGCAAAUGAUUUAUUGAAGCUCAGCUUUGGG